rnacentral:rRNA from 1 species
GCCUACGGGGGGCAGCAGUAGGGAAUAUUGCUCAAUGGGGGAACCCUGAAGCAGCAACGCCGCGUGGAGGAUGAAGGUUUUCGGAUUGUAAACUCCUUUUGUUAGAGAAGAUAAUGACGGUAUCUAACGAAUAAGCACCGGCUAACUCCGUGCCAGCAGCCGCGGUAAUACGGAGGGCGCAAGCGUUACUCGGAAUCACUGGGCGUAAAGAGCGCGUAGGCGGGAUAGCAAGUCAGAUGUGAAAUCCUAUGGCUUAACCAUAGAACUGCAUUUGAAACUGUUAUUCUAGAGUAUGGGAGAGGUAG